GAUGAACGCUGGCGGCGUGCCUAAUACAUGCAAGUCGAGCGAACAGACGAGGAGCUUGCUCCUCUGACGUUAGCGGCGGACGGGUGAGUAACACGUGGAUAACCUACCUAUAAGACUGGGAUAACUUCGGGAAACCGGAGCUAAUACCGGAUAAUAUAUUGAACCGCAUGGUUCAAUAGUGAAAGACGGUUUUGCUGUCACUUAUAGAUGGAUCCGCGCCGCAUUAGCUAGUUGGUAAGGUAACGGCGUACCAAGGCAGCGAUGCGUAGCCGACCUGAGAGGGUGAUCGGCCACACUGGAACUGAGACACGGUCCAGACUCCUACGGGAGGCAGCAGUAGGGAAUCUUCCGCAAUGGGCGAAAGCCUGACGGAGCAACGCCGCGUGAGUGAUGAAGGUCUUCGGAUCGUAAAACUCUGUUAUUAGGGAAGAACAAAUGUGUAAGUAACUAUGCACGUCUUGACGGUACCUAAUCAGAAAGCCACGGCUAACUACGUG
rnacentral:rRNA from 1 species